UUUAAUAACGGUAGAUAGACAGAUACAUACUUUAUUGAGUCCAGAAGAAAAUGAAUAACAUACAAGCACCACACCAGAUACACAGCAUUUUAUUAACCACACAUGUGAUCAUAAAAAAAAAGAUGCAGCCGACACAUUUUCCCAAAAAACUUUUAUGUCAGACUUGUAAUUAUUUAAGAAAAAGGAAUCCAUGCUGGAAUCUGCAUAGUACGCCAGUUCUGAGAGACUUUUCCAGGAGCUGUAAGGUAAGGAGGAAGCAUUAGAUAAUAUCUGAGUCAACAAAACCUCCUUUCUAAACUCGUUUCGCCUUAAGCCCUUAUUUAUAAGCAAGCUAUCAAGUGCAAAUGUCUGCUUAAUUUAAUACCUUCCCUGAAGCAGGCUGGAAUUUUUGUCUUAUUGCAUAUGUAUAGGUAGAUGGCUUUAAUGGGUCAAAUAUGAAUUAAUUGGAUUUAGUAAAUGAAUUCUCUCUUCUCACAUUUCUUGCUCCUUUUCUUAGCAGUGUCCAUGCUUGUGCUUAUGUUCACCAUCUGAAUCACUUCCACUGCCAGAGUGCUGACCAUGACCAUGACCAUGUUUAUGGUGGCCAUGUUUAUGGUGGCCAUGUUCAUGAUGGCCAUGUUCAUGGUGGCCAUGCCCAUGGUGACCAUGCCCAUGGUGACCAUGAUGACCAUGUUCAUGGUGACCAUGUUCAGGGCCAUGACCAUGCUGUGGACAAUUGGGAUCCUGGGGAUAUCCAGGACCCUGAGGAUAACCUGGAACUGGUGCACCUGGGUAACCUUGAGGAUAGUUGGGGUUCAUGUUGCUGUUUUCUGGCCUGUAGAAAACAAGCCAUAUAUAGAUUUAGAGUCAUUUGGGAAUGUUUCUGAUAGAAACAAAUGUUGAGUCAAUUUAAAUAACACAAUAAUCAAACAUCUUGUCCAGACUUUGCUGGUGUUGAUAAUAAAUAACUGAUGUCUAUUAAUGUUAGAAUAUCU
rnacentral:lncRNA from 1 species